rnacentral:rRNA from 1 species
UCCUGCCGGACCCCGCUGCUAUCGGGAUAGGUCUAAGACAUGCUAGUCCUGCGCUUCAGCCAAAACGAGGCGCGGCAUACAGCUCGGUAACACGUGGCUAAUCUGCCCUUGUAGGACGAGAACAACCCCGGGAAACUGGGCUAACUCUCGAUAGGUGAAGAACUCUGGAAUGAGUCUUCGCCCAAAAAGCCUCACGUUAUGCGCGUGAGGUUGCCUAAGGAUGAGGCCGCGACCGAUCAGGUUGUUGGUGAGGUAAUGGCUCACCAAGCCUUUUACCGGUGCGGGCCGUGAGAGCGGGAGCCCGGAGAUGGGCACUGAGACAAGGGCCCAGGCCCUACGGGGCGCAGCAGUCGCGAAAACUUUGCAAUACACGAAAGUGUGACAGGGCUAUCCCGAGUGCCAUCCGCUGAGGAAGGCUUUUACCCAGUCUAGAACGCUGGGGGAAUAAGGAGAGGGCAAGUCUGGUGUCAGCCGCCGCGGUAAUACCAGCUCUCCGAGUGGUGUGGAUGUUUAUUGGGCCUAAAGCAUCCGUAGCUGGCUAAGUUAGUCCCUUGUUAAAUCCACCGAAUUAAUCGUUGGAUUGCGGGGGAUACUGCUUGGCUAGGGGACGAGAGAGGCAGACGGUAUUCCCGGGGUAGGGGUGAAAUCCUAUAAUCCCGAGAAGACCACCAGCGGCGAAGGCUGUCUGCUAGAACGCGCCCGACGGUGAGGGAUGAAAGCUGGGGGAGCGAACCGGAUUAGAUACCCGGGUAGUCCCAGCUGUAAACGAUGCAGGCUAGGUGUUUGGACGGCCACGUGCCGUUCUAGUGCCGCAGGGAAGCUGUUAAGCCUGCCGCCUGGGGAGUACGAUCGCAAGAUUGAAACUUAAAGGAAU